rnacentral:rRNA from 1 species
CCUACGGGGGGCAGCAGUGGGGAAUAUUGCGCAAUGGGCGAAAGCCUGACGCAGCGACGCCGCGUGAGGGAUGAAGGUCUUCGGAUCGUAAACCUCUGUCAGCAGGGAAGAACGGUCACUGUGCUAAUCAGCAGUGAAUUGACGGUACCUGCAAAGGAAGCACCGGCUAACUCCGUGCCAGCAGCCGCGGUAAUACGGCGGGUGCGAGCGUUAAUCGGAAUUACUGGGCGUAAAGCGCUCGUAGGCGGUAUGUCAAGUCAAGGGUGAAAUCCCCGCGCUCAACGUGGGAACUGCCUUUGAAACUGGCAAACUGGAGUGUGUGAGAGGAUAGUGGAAUUCCAGGUGUAGGAGUGAAAUCCGUAGAUAUCUGGAGGAACAUCAGUGGCGAAGGCGACUAUCUGGAACAUAACUGACGCUGAGGAGCGAAAGCGUGGGUAGCAAACAGGAUUAGAUACCCCAGUAGUC